CCCAUGCAGUUUAUCGAGCAUGAAUAGGAUAUGCAGGAACCCCCAGAAUCGGGAGUGAUGACCCAACCCGAAAUUGAAUGAAAGCAUUUUGCGAAGUGACCAUGCCUAUUUGGUUGUUAGUGAAUGUGAGUAGCGUCUAGCCCCGCGAAGAUUUUGGGCU
rnacentral:sRNA from 1 species